AUACGGAGGAUGCGAGCGUUAUCCGGAUUUAUUGGGUUUAAAGGGUGCGUAGGCUGUGCGUUAAGUCAGGGGUGAAAUGCCGUCGCUCAACGACGGAGCUGCCCUUGAUACUGGCGUGCUGGAGUACGGAUGCCGUUGGAGGAAUGAGUGGUGUAGCGGUGAAAUGCUUAGAUAUCACUCAGAACACCGAUUGCGAAGGCUUCUGACGAAUCCGUCACUGACGCUGAGGCACGAAGGCGUGGGGAUAGAACAGGAUUAGAUACCCUGGUAUUCCACGCCGUAAACGAUGAUGACUAACCGUCGGCGAUAGACAGCCGGUGGCCAAGCGAAAGCGAUAAGUCAUCCACCUGGGGAGUACGUCGGCAACGAUGAAACUCAAAUGAAUUGACGGGG
rnacentral:rRNA from 1 species